rnacentral:rRNA from 1 species
UUGGAGGGCAAGUCUGGUGCCAGCAGCCGCGGUAAUUCCAGCUCCAAUAGCGUAUAUUAAAGUUGUUGCAGUUAAAAAGCUCGUAGUUGAAUUUCGGGAUCAAUGCGUCGGUCGUGCCUUCGGUACGUACUAGCGUCAUUGAUUCCUCCCUUCUGAAGAACCGUGAUGUCAUUAAUUUGGUGUUACGGGGAAUCAGGACUGUUACCUUGAAAAAAUUAGAGUGUUUAAAGCAGGCUAACGCUUGAAUACAUUAGCAUGGAAUAAUGAAAUAGGACGUUCGAACCUAUUUUGUUGGUUUCUAGGAUCGACGUAAUGAUUAAUAGGGAUGGUUGGGGGCAUUAGUAUUCAAUUGUCAGAGGUGAAAUUCUUGGAUUUAUUGAAGACUAACUACUGCGAAAGCAUUUGCCAAGGAUGUUUUCAUUAAUCAAGAACGAAAGUUAGGGGAUCGAAGACGAUCAGACACCGUCGUAGUCUUAACCAUAAACUAUGGCGACUAGGGAUCGGAUGAUGUUAAUUUUUCUUGACUCGUUCGGCACCUUACGGGAAAC